rnacentral:rRNA from 1 species
AUUGAACGCUGGCGGCAUGCCUUACACAUGCAAGUCGAACGGUAACAGGUCUUCGGAUGCUGACGAGUGGCGAACGGGUGAGUAAUACAUCGGAACGUGCCUAGUAGUGGGGGAUAACUACUCGAAAGAGUGGCUAAUACCGCAUGAGAUCUACGGAUGAAAGCAGGGGAUCGCAAGACCUUGUGCUACUAGAGCGGCCGAUGGCAGAUUAGGUAGUUGGUGGGAUAAAAGCUUACCAAGCCGACGAUCUGUAGCUGGUCUGAGAGGACGAUCAGCCACACUGGGACUGAGAAACGGCCCAGACUCCUACGGGAGGCAGCAGCGGGGAAUUUUGGACAAUGGGCGCAAGCCUGAUCCAGCAAUGCCGCGUGCAGGAUGAAGGCCUUCGGGUUGUAAACUGCCUUUGUACGGAACGAAAAGCCCCGGGUUAAUACCCUGGGGUCAUGACGGUACCGUAAGAAUAAGCACCGGCUAACUACGUGCCAGCAGCCGCAGUAA